rnacentral:lncRNA from 1 species
UAUAAAUGGUAGAUUCUUAGUCCCAAUGAAACUCUGCCAUAGAGUUCUAGUCCAAGUAGGACUCUUCACCAGAGUCACAAUCCAAUUAGACUCUUCAGCUAUCAGAUCUGAUCACAUCUUCUAAUGCAUAUGACUUCAUAGCUUUGAACCUAAGCCAGUAGCAUAAAAAUAAUUUUCUAUACCAAUCAAUGUAACCAUCUAGCAAUGAUGACCCG